rnacentral:rRNA from 1 species
CCGUGAGGGAAAGAUGAAAAGCACUUUGGAAAGAGAGUUAAACAGUACGUGAAAUUGUUGAAAGGGAAACGAUUGAAGUCAGUCGUGUCCGAGGGGUUCAGCCGGUCCCGCCGGUGCAUUCCUCUCGGACGGGUCAACAUCGGUUUUGACCGGCGGAGAAGGGCGUUAGGAAGGUGGCACCCUCGGGUGUGUUAUAGCCUCUCGUCGCACACGUCGGUCGAGACCGAGGAACGCAGCUCGCCCUCACGGGCCGGGGUUCUCCCACGUACGAGCUUAGG